rnacentral:lncRNA from 1 species
GUUUGGCAGCUUGCUGCUGUUUACAGUAUCUUCCUUCCCUCCAGCUGAUCAUGGUACCUGCUGGGAGUCUCUAGGGACAAAGGAAUCCCAAAACAAAACAAAAAGUGGCUACCACUUAAAGGAAGUUGAGGCCUGAAUUAUAUUAUCGUUUCAUUUGACACAGCUCUUUGCUCUCCCAAUCCAUAAUUGAAGCUGUGUUGGAUCAACAGUCAAUAAAAGCACCUGCAUUCUUGGAGACUGCAAAGGACAAGACUACAACUUACUGAUGUGUUCAGAGGGCUGCAAUCUUACGAAUUCUGUUUCCUGCUGACAUGAAGAAUGGGACAGAAGAGAAGAGCAGAGUAGCAGUACAAUAUGCCAUGACGGUAUCAAACCUCUGUGCCCUGGAUGGCACAAGUCCUGUAUAUUGGAAAUCUGGAUUUUAUUGGUCCACAUACCUUGUAAUUCUUACAUGACCUCAUCUAAGUUUCUUGAAGUUAACUCAAUCUACAGAUUAAACAGCACUUUGCAGUUCACCUGGAAACUCACUAAUGCUGGUUCAAGACAAUAAACAUAACGUACCCUCAGCA